rnacentral:rRNA from 1 species
GAUGAACGCUGGCGGCGUGCCUAAUACAUGCAAGUCGAGCGAACAGACGAGGAGCUUGCUUCUCUGACGUUAGCGGCGGACGGGUGAGUAACACGUGGAUAACCUACCUAUAAGACUGGGAUAACUUCGGGAAACCGGAGCUAAUACCGGAUAAUAUAUUGAACCGCAUGGUUCAAUAGUGAAAGACGGUUUUGCUGUCAUUUAUAGAUGGAUCCGCGCCGCAUUAGCUAGUUGGUAAGGUAACGGCUUACCAAGGCGACGAUGCGUAGCCGACCUGAGAGGGUGAUCGGCCACACUGGAACUGAGACACGGUCCAGACUCCUACGGGAGGCAGCAGUAGGGAAUCUUCCGCAAUGGGCGAAAGCCUGACGGAGCAACGCCGCGUGAGUGAUGAAGGUCUUCGGAUCGUAAAACUCUGUUAUUAGGGAAGAACAAAUGUGUAAGUAACUAUGCACGUCUUGACGGUACCUAAUCAGAAAGCCACGGCUAACUACGUG